ensembl:lncRNA
UGUUGUCCUGACCUCCUUUGAGUCGCGGAGGAGAGCCAAUGGAAAAGCCAUCGAGAGACUGAAGGACAUGCUGGUGAUGAGCACCUCAGAUAAGCAUUUUCUGCUGAAGCAGCACACUCUCUCACUCAGACGCCAGAAGAAAACCUUCAAGGCGCCCACCACUGUUUCAGGCACUAGAGAGGGCAGCCCUACCACCAUGAAAGACCCCUCAGCAGGCAUCGGAGAGGACAGCCAUAUCGCUCAACUGAAGGACCCCUCUGCAUAGCCUACAGGCAAUGACAGCCCAUCAUAAAGAUAGAUAGAGGACUCUAGUGCCCAAAAGCCAGUUUUAGCAUGUGCAGUGACAUUCGGGACUUUCACCAUUCCAAAGUAGUCAACUGAGUGGAACUACCUAUGGUUUAAGGAUCACAUGAUUCCAUCCAGGUCAUCAGGAGGGUUCAACCAAUGAAUUAUACUCGUGAGGAAACAUUCCAUAACUGCAGGUAGCUGUAAAUGGCCAACCUUGGCUUUAUACCUGUUCAAACAACACACUCCAGGUGGCAGGAUGCACCCUUUCAGUUUGUUUACCAACUCAUAGAAGUAGUAGAAGAAGAAAAUGAACUAGUUCGAAAUGAAGAUUUCCUCAAUGGCUCUUCCCAUGCUCCCACAGACGCUCUAUUGGGACAGAUGCAAUGUUGUGUUCUCUAACUAUCUCUAUGCAGCCCAUAGAGUUAGAAAUAGAGCCCACCACCUAUCAUUGUGCCAAAUGCACCCUCUAUCCAACUCUAUGGAGCAGACAGCCAAAUGGCACCCUAUUCCAUAUUUAGCGCACAAAAGUAGUAGCAGAUGUGACCUUUGAGCUUUUUGUCACUCCCUAACAUUCAGUGUUUAUUGCUCUGGGCUGUACCUAAAUGUCAUAUACAGUAUUAACAACAACAAGUGGUCAGUUACAGAACUUGUGUUACUGUAGUGAUGUGUUUCGUGGCUAUGAUGCAGUUGUAAAAGCUCAAUUCUCAGAUCCCUGGUUCCUUGUGUCGUCCAUUCAUAACUUAACCUUAUUAGUUGUGGCCUGUCUAGUGUCCAUAAUGGGUGGUUCAUCUCUCUCUAGCCCUAUUCUGAUUGGUCCAGACAAGGCCUACCUGAACUCCAAGGUAGUGUUCCAAUGUAGGUCACCUGGGUCUCCUCCACCAAACACAUAUGAGCUCCUGAAGGACGGCAACCACCUGGUCGCCACGAGCAACGACCUCCAAGACGACCAAUCGGCUACGUUCUUCCUGAAGAUCUCUGUGACGUCAGAAGGAUCGUACCACUGCAGGGUGACGGCAGGUGGGAACAUGGGCCUCAGUGGAACAGUCCGCCUGCAAGUAGUGAUCCCUGUCUCAGGCACUAUGGUGACCUCUGACCCUGAUCCUCCCAUUCUCUACGAGGGGUUGAGGCUCACUCUCACCUGUGAUGUCACCAAGGGCUCCCACCUCUCCUACACCUGGUUCUACAACAGACAGGAAGUGACAUCAUCUCCAACCUCACCUUUGACCCCGCUUCUGCUUUGGCCGGUGGGGAACACGCUGGUGGUGGAGAGGGUCACAGCAAAGCAUGCUGGGAAUUAUUCGUGCAUUGCCGGGACCAGGAUGCAGACCAACAGCAGGUUCUCCAGCAGCAGAGAGGUCACGGUUAGGGUCAAAGCCUAUCUCUCCGUACCCCAGAUAUCCUUCACCAUCUCCAAAGAGGGUUCGAGUUUCUGCGGCAAUGUGACCUGCAUGUCAUCAAGGGGAACCCCUCCCGUGACCUUCUACCUCUUCCUUGACGACAAGGAGGUGGGUUCCGACGUGGCAACGGAGUCGCUGGUUGCCUGGUUCCCUGUUGCCAUGGUUCCCGGGCGUGACAUGGGCACGGUGCGGUGUACAGUGGAGAGUGAUGCACAGAGACUGACCAGCAGACCCCUCACUCUGGUAGUGGUCCCAGUAGGAGGCUCACCAAAGGUGGAUGUGGAGUACCUUUACAGGGUUGAUUCCAAGAUGGCCGCCGCUCGUCUCCAAUGCCUCCUGAGCCUCGGGACAUUCCCUUUCUUCUCCUGGUCCCUCAACGGCUCCCUCCUCCUUCACCCCUCCGAGGGAGACUCCUCUCACCCCUCUCACGCCCUGGCGGACGGAGGGCGCACCCUAUUCCUCACCGAGAUCACCCUAGAGGACUCUGGGUAUUAUCGGUGCAGGGCAAGGGACAGUUAUGACGUAACGUCCGCUUGGGUGGAAAGCCAACCUGUCCUUGUGCAGGUCACAGAAGUUGCCACGACAACCAUAGAGGUCAUGGCCAUAGUAUUCUGCUGUUUCCUCAUGCUGACCCUGGCAGGGGGUGUGGCCUGUGUGAUGUGGAUGCUCAACCGCCAACGAGGUGGGUGUGUGUUCAGAAUAUGGUCAUUGUUCUUAAAUGUGUCACUCUCAGUCUUUCAUUCUCUCUCUCUCUCUCUCUCUGUCUCUCUCUCUCUCUCUCUCUCUCUCUCUCUCUCUCUCUCUCUCUCUCUCUCUCUCUCUCUCAGACGUUGUGGCAAGCAGCGAGCAGAGAGCGAGAGCAGCAAAGUGAGUCCUGUAUUUAUUUUAGUCUAUUGUAGGCCUACAGUGUUUUGA